UACACAUGCAAGUCGAACGGCAGCACAGGAGAGCUUGCUCUCUGGGUGGCGAGUGGCGGACGGGUGAGGAAUAUAUCGGAAUCUACCCUUUCGUGGGGGAUAACGUAGGGAAACUUACGCUAAUACCGCAUACGAACUGAGGUUGAAAGCGGCGGACCGCAAGGCGUCGCGCGGAUGGAUGAGCCGAUAUCCGAUUAGCUAGUUGGCGGGGUAAAGGCCCACCAAGGCGACGAUCGGUAGCUGGUCUGAGAGGAUGAUCAGCCACACUGGAACUGAGACACGGUCCAGACUCCUACGGGAGGCAGCAGUGGGGAAUAUUGGACAAUGGGCGCAAGCCUGAUCCAGCCAUGCCGCGUGUGUGAAGAAGGCCUUCGGGCUGUAAAGCACUUUUGUUGGGAAAGAAAAGCGGUCGGUUAAUACCCGGUCGUUCUGACGGUACCCAAAGAAUAAGCACCGGCUAACUCUGUGCCAGCAGCCGCGGUAAUACAGAGGGUGCAAGCGUUAAUCGGAAUUACUGGGCGUAAAGCGCACGCAGGCGGUUGGUUAAGUCAGAUGUGAAAGCCCCGGGCUCAACCUGGGAAUUGCAUUUGAAACUGGCCAACUAGAGUAUGUGAGAGGGGGGUAGAAUUCCAAGUGUAGCGGUGAAAUGCGUAGGGAUUUGGAGGAAUACCAGUGGCGAAGGCGGCCCCCUGGCACAAUACUGACGCUCAGGUGCGAAAGCGCGGGGAGCAAACAGGAUUAGAUACCCUGGUAGUCCACGCCGUANACGAUGUCUACUAGCUGUUCGUGGUCUUGUACUGUGAGUAGCGCAGCUAACGCACUAAGUAGACCGCCUGGGGAGUACGGUCGCAAGAUUAAAACUCAAAUGAAUUGACGGGGGCCCGCACAAGCGGUGGAGCAUGUGGUUUAAUUCGACGCAACGCGAAGAACCUUACCUA
rnacentral:rRNA from 1 species